UGUACGAUGUAUCGAUUACGACGAUGUAAUGUCAUGUGGCAGAUUUUCAAGUUCUCUGGUUACCGUUUUUACUUUUUUCCAUCUUGUAUGACCACAUUGGCAGCUUGGCGUUUUUUGUAAAAAGACCAAAGCGACAAAAAAUUCUAUCGAUAAAGUGGUUAAAUGUCAUGAAGGUAAAUACAUGGUGUUUUAUUUAUCUGACCUAUUUAAAAUUAUUGUUUGCGUUCCCAAUAGAAGGAAAACUUUAA
rnacentral:lncRNA from 1 species